UUUGUGUUCUGCAGAGGGGAGGAGAAAGGGAAAGAGAUUAGACGCAUGCUAUGGGUUCCUGGGGCAGGGGAGAGGCGGCACAGGAGAAUACCAGACUCUGCUCCCCAAGCUGGGCAUCACCCGCACAGAAUCCUCUCUCUCUUAACAAGACACGUGCGGCUCAGGAGUCAGCCCCGGGGGGCAGGAAUCCAUUAUUCCCCUUCCUCCACUAGAGUGAGAUCCUCUGCACCCCGAGUUCGGGAAUCCCCACCAGAUGCUAUGCUGAGGACACCAGCGUAAGCCAAGCACUGAAGGGGAUUCCAUUUUGGAGUCUGUCAAUGUAGUUCCCAGAUGACCAGCAGAGGCCACUAUUCAAGCCCAGUCUGUACCCUGGACACAGCACAAGGAGUGCUCUGAAAAGGAGUGGGAGAGACACUACAGGACAUGGGACCUAAACCGGAUGGGAGCCGAGCAGCUGACUCACAGCCAGUGCCUCCUUGUCCUUCUCGUAGUGGGCUAGCUUCUUCUGCAGCUCGGCCACCUCCUCCCGGGCCCGCUGCAGGGGCUCUGUUUGCCUCUUGUUCUGAAGCAGCACUUCCGCCAUCUCCUUCUCCAGAUCCAGCUCAUCCCGCAGCACGCGCAUCUUCUUGUCGUACUUGGCCUCAAUCUCUGAAGGGAAGCACCACACAUAGCUGAGUGACCACCCCAUAGGGCAGGCCAGACAGGCUGGGACCCAGUGCAUGAGCACCCCUUUGCUGCUGCUACAAGCUACUUGGUCAGUCCACACUACGGGGAUGGUACUCUUGGAAAGGAUGCCCAUUAAUGGUGCCAUAUCAGCUCCCAUUAGUGUAUGGAGCAGUUACAGCAGAAUCAUGGAAGGGAAUGCCCAGAAAGCCUGGCUGACGGCGGUGCCCAGACACCAUGGGCGUGGGAACACUAGAAACACUCAGGUAAUCAGCCCAUGCAAAUCAAACCACAUUGUAAUAAAGAGGUACCAGCACAAGGCCAAAGCGCCUGUAAAGUCUCCUCCAGCCCCAGAGCCCUGCAGAUCCAGAGAGCCAGUAAGCAGCUGUGAAGGGCACUACCUACUGCUUGGUGCCCACUGUGGUGCCCGCCAGACCACAGUGUUAAACAAUCCCCCCCGAGAGAGAUGGGGGGAGCAGGGCUGCACUGCCACAUGGAGACAGGCAGUGCAGAGUGAGACCUGAGUCCAACCCUGAGUGGCAGCAAAGCACCCGCAGCUGGUGCUGCUCUGAUCCAUUCUACAUGCGCAGACAAGCUGCUCCUGGGAAUUCAAACAAGCCGCUCAGCCUACAGCCCACAAGCAGCAGAAGAGGGAAGGAGGAGGAGAAUGGCCAUCCGCCAGUGGGGCCCUGUUUUGCUCUGGGGAGGGAGCCCAGUGGAGGCACAGUGUGAUGAGUGCUAAGGCAGCUCUCACUCUGGGUUUCAUACAGGAGUCCAAAUAGGAACUGACCUUUCACUUGUCUCUCAAAGUCGCUGCGCAGCCGUGUGAUCUCCUCCUCUUGUUUCUGACAGGGAGAAGCUGCACAUUAAACCUGGAUAGCCAAACAGAGAGAGAAAUCCUCCCCUACUCACAGGCUCAGAGUCAAGGCCAUCUGCGCACCUGGCUGCAGUGAAAAGCCAUCACCGAAAGGCUUGAGGGCUGCUGACCUGCUGUGCCAGUAAUGCCCGCUCUGCCAGAGGCUGCUGAGUGUGCCCCCGGAUGUAUGGACUACAUUCAGACACCUGGGACAUGCAGGGAGCCUGCACUGAACCUGCAAGUGUGUUUCAGGGGCACUCCCCCUGGCUUAUGGACAGUAUCACUCUCCAGGGACAUUUCUUUCCCCACUGACUUUGGCCAUUUCUGUUUGGCAAACACCGAUUCCAGUGCCCGCUCCACCAUGCCCCAGGGUUCCUUGUGCAGCACACACCAGGUUGGUUCUGCCUACAGUAACCCCCAUGUCAGUGCACCAGCACCCAGCAUAGCUCUGGGAACUGCACUGGAUCUGCUAGAUCAAAUCAGACCUUUGGUCCAUAUUACCCAAUAUCCUGCCCCAGGAAAUGACUAAUGUCUGAGGAGGACACAAAUUCCCACAAUGCACCUGGCCAUGCCAAAAAUCCUUCCUGACCCCAUGGGGAUCAGCUGAUGCCCUGGAGCCCAUGGUUUGAUUACCAAUCCUACUGCAGUUUGCAAAGUGACACAUGCAGUUACUGGUCACCAGGUUCUCCAGCCCCGGGUUGGAUUCUGACUCCUGCGGCACUGAACCUACUGGCUGACUCCCAGCCCCGGGAGGACAGACUUCCAUCAGUGACUCUAAAUAGCUCUCCCACAGAUGUCACUGGGUGACCCCUUAGUUUCACAUUACGGGGAUGGUGCAAGAGUCAGGGACUGAUCAGUCUCCAUUCAGCCCUUCAGAGCCUGGAUGUCUCAGCCAGGUGCCUCCUCUCGCCUCCUUCUCUGACAAGCUAACCUUGGGCUCUCCCAUCUCCGUUACACGCCAAUACCACCUAAACCUCGACUUGC